rnacentral:rRNA from 1 species
GGUUAAUAACCGCAGCAAUUGACGUUACCCGCAGAAGAAGCACCGGCUAACUCCGUGCCAGCAGCCGCGGUAAUACGGAGGGUGCAAGCGUUAAUCGGAAUUACUGGGCGUAAAGCGCACGCAGGCGGUUCUUAAGUCAGAUGUGAAAUCCCCGGGCUCAACCUGGGAACUGCAUUUGAAACUGGGAAGCUUGAGUCUCGUAGAGGGGGGUAGAAUUCCAGGUGUAGCGGUGAAAUGCGUAGAGAUCUGGAGGAAUACCGGUGGCGAAGGCGACCCCCUGGUCUGAAACUGACGCUCAGGCGCGAAAGCGUGGGGAGCGAACAGGAUUAGAUACCCUGGUAGUCCACGCCGUAAACGAUG